rnacentral:pre_miRNA from 1 species
GGCCAAAAUAUGAAGUAAAGUAGGUUAGUAGGAUUGUCCGACCCUACUGAACUACUCUACUUCAAGUUCGUGCCC